rnacentral:lncRNA from 1 species
AAACAGUUAGCUUGCUCCUAUCAUCCCAUGCACAAACAAUAGAAUUGUCUUCUAACCAAUUGUGGGCACGUUUAAUUUUUAAUCGCAGGGAUUUUAAUUGAUUAGGAUUAAAGUUCUUAAUGUUGGAUGCCAUCUGCCAUCUGAUCUCAUCAGCUUUUAUUGGAUCACACUCCUUCAGUAUUGGUUCUAACUGUACUGCUACAUUUUCCCAUGUUGGAACAUUUUGUACUAAAGUGUUAGGACCUAAACUAAGUAUUUGGUCCACAAAGUCUGGUACCAGUAUAUUAUCCAACGCCACAUAAGGUUUAACUUCCGGUUUGUUUUUCUUUUUGAGCUGAGUGUAGAAUAACCACUUAAGCUUUUUUACAUAUCUUUUGUGAAGGAUAGAUUGAAUUCGAUUAAUAAACAGAGCAUAAAGUGGAAGGGAUACUUUCAGGCUUUCAAUACUCAGAUCCUGUAUGCCCUUGUAGAUGAGAUACGAUUUAAAACGGAAUAAUUCCCUUCUAGAGUCCGAAAUAGCCGCUGCUAAACAUCGCUUCUUAGUAAUUACUAAUAAAUUCUUCGACCUUACCGGUAAUGUAAGUCUAUGUAUUGAUGACGGAAAAACUCUGUUGCAUCGACAUUGCUUCAAGAACAAAAAACGUUCUUCCAAGGUUACCAACUUCCUAAUGUCUUUCUUUCCGAUAAAGGCUGGCUCAGCCUGCAUUACGAACUCAUAAAAUACAACACUAUACACUGUCAGGAGUUAA